GUUAUCAGUUGCCGAUCGGGUAGAGCCGGGGACUCUGAUAAGACUGCCUGCGCAAGCAGAGAGGAAGGAGGGGACGACGUCAAGUCAUCAUGGCCCUUACGCCCAGGGCGACACACGUGCUACAAUGGCGCAUACAGCGGGUAGCUACCUGGCAACAGGAUGCCAACCUCUAAAAGUGCGUCUCAGUUCGGAUUGGGGUCUGCAACCCGACCCCAUGAAGCUGGAAUCGCUAGUAAUCGCGCAUCAGCCAUGGCGCGGUGAAUACGUUCCCGGACCUU
rnacentral:rRNA from 1 species